rnacentral:rRNA from 1 species
UACAGAGGGGGCAAGCGUUGUUCGGAAUUACUGGGCGUAAAGGGCGCGUAGGCGGCCUGCUAAGUCGAACGUGAAAUCCCUGGGCUCAACCCAGGAACUGCGUCCGAUACUGGUUGGCUUGAAUCCGGGAGAGGGACGUGGAAUUCCAGGUGUAGCGGUGAAAUGCGUAGAUAUCUGGAGGAACACCGGUGGCGAAGGCGGCUACCUGGACCGGUUCUGACGCUGAUGCGCGAAAGCGUGGGUAGCAAACAGG